AUCUUCGGACCUCGCGCGGUUAGACGGACCGAUGUUCGAUUAGCUAGUUGGUGGGGUAAUGGCCCACCAAGGCGACGAUCGAUAGCUGGUCUGAGAGGAUGAUCAGCCACACUGGGACUGAGACACGGCCCAGACUCCUACGGGAGGCAGCAGUGGGGAAUAUUGGACAAUGGGCGCAAGCCUGAUCCAGCAAUGCCGCGUGUGUGAAGAAGGCCUUCGGGUUGUAAAGCACUUUUAUCAGGAGCGAAAUACCAUCGGCUAAUACCCGGUGGGGCUGACGGUACCUGAGGAAUAAGCACCGGCUAACUUCGUGCCAGCAGCCGCGGUAAUACGAAGGGUGCAAGCGUUAAUCGGAAUUACUGGGCGUAAAGCGUGCGUAGGCGGUGAGUUAAGUCUGUUGUGAAAUCCCCGGGCUCAACCUGGGAAUGGCAAUGGAUACUGGCUCGCUAGAGUGUGAUAGAGGAUGGUGGAAUUCCCGGUGUAGCGGUGAAAUGCGUAGAGAUCGGGAGGAACAUCAGUGGCGAAGGCGGCCAUCUGGAUC
rnacentral:rRNA from 1 species